rnacentral:rRNA from 1 species
ACGGGUGAGUAACGCGUAGGUAUCUAUCCAUGGGUGGGGGAUAACGCCGGGAAACUGGUGCUAAUACCGCAUGACACCUGAGGGUCAAAGGCGCAAGUCGCCUGUGGAGGAGCCUGCGUCCGAUUAGCUUGUUGGUGGGGUAAUGGCCUACCAAGGCGACGAUCGGUAGCUGGUCUGAGAGGAUGAUCAGCCACACUGGGACUGAGACACGGCCCAGACUCCUACGGGAGGCAGCAGUGGGGAAUUUUGGACAAUGGGGGAAACCCUGAUCCAGCCAUGCCGCGUGAGUGAAGAAGGCCUUCGGGUUGUAAAGCUCUUUUGGUCGGGAAGAAAGGAUUCGGGCUAAUACCCUGGAUUUAUGACGGUACCGGCAGAAUAAGCACCGGCUAACUACGUGCCAGCAGCCGCGG